AAUUUUAAAAAAUAUAGAGAGAGAACAUAUGAAAAAGUAAAUAAAAAGAGAAAAAUAACAACACAAUUUUGUCAAGUCCUUAAUCACAAAAAUAAAUAUGAUAAAAAAUCAUAUAAUCAAUGCAAUUAUUUUUGAGCUUUUAUUAGGCACCCCUGCUAUCCAUAUCCAAGUGUCUUUUCAUGGAGUCAAACUAAAGUAUAUUUUUCAUGGAGUCAAACUAAGUAUUAAUCUGAUACUAUAACAAUAAUAUCGAAUAUCAGUAUUUCAAAUAUGGAAUAAAAAUAAUAAUCUUGAGUAGGAAUCUAAUGAAAAAAAUGACUUUAUAUAGACAAAAUUGAAGAAAUUAAUAUAAUAAGGUAUCUUAAAUUUUGAAAUUAAAUAGUUGGGGGUUAUGAAUAUAAAAAUUUAAAGAAAAAGAGUUAAUAAUAUUAAUUAAAGUAAAAGUUCAAUU
rnacentral:lncRNA from 1 species